GACGAACGCUGGCGGCGUGCUUAACACAUGCAAGUCGAGCGGAAAGGCCCUUCGGGGUACUCGAGCGGCGAACGGGUGAGUAACACGUGAGUAACCUGCCCUAGGCUUUGGGAUAACCCCGGGCAACCGGGGCUAAUACCGGAUAUGACCUGGUGCCGCAUGGUGUUGGUUGGAAAGUUUUUUCGGCCUGGGAUGGGCUCGCGGCCUAUCAGCUUGUUGGUGGGGUGAUGGCCUACCAAGGCGAUGACGGGUAGCCGGCCUGAGAGGGCGACCGGCCACACUGGGACUGAGACACGGCCCAGACUCCUACGGGAGGCAGCAGUGGGGAAUAUUGCACAAUGGGCGGAAGCCUGAUGCAGCGACGCCGGGUGAGGGAUGAAGGCCUUCGGGUUGUAAACCUCUUUCAGCAGGGACGAAGCGUGAGUGACGGUACCUGCAGAAGAAGCGCCGGCCAACUACGUG
rnacentral:rRNA from 1 species